rnacentral:rRNA from 1 species
GACGAACGCUGGCGGCGUGCCUAAUACAUGCAAGUCGAGCGGACAGACGGGAGCUUGCUCCCUGAUGUUAGCGGCGGACGGGUGAGUAACACGUGGGUAACCUGCCUGUAAGACUGGGAUAACUCCGGGAAACCGGGGCUAAUACCGGAUGGUUGUCUGAACCGCAUGGUUCAGACAUAAAAGGUGGCUUCGGCUACCACUUACAGAUGGACCCGCGGCGCAUUAGCUAGUUGGUGAGGUAACGGCUCACCAAGGCAACGAUGCGUAGCCGACCUGAGAGGGUGAUCGGCCACACUGGGACUGAGACACGGCCCAGACUCCUACGGGAGGCAGCAGUAGGGAAUCUUCCGCAAUGGACGAAAGUCUGACGGAGCAACGCCGCGUGAGUGAUGAAGGGUUUCGGAUCGUAAAGCUCGGUUGUUAGGGAAGAACAAGUGCCGUUCAAAUAGGGCGGCACCUUGACGGUACCUAACCAGAAAGCCACGGCUAACUACGUG